AGCAGCCCGGCGAGUUUUUGCGACUCCUUCCGCGCCUCUUUCAGGCGGCCUCUCAACCGGCCUCAGAAGUCCGCGCUUUCGUCGACCUGUAGGGUCCUGGGCAGCUGGGACGAAGCAGCCUCAGGAUGUCGACCUUUUAUCUUUAACCGCAUUUUCAGUUUGGAAGGUGUAAAAUAGGUAUAACAUUUAAGAAAAAAAUUUGAAAGAGAUUACCAGGAAAAUUGCAAAUAGAAGAGACUGUACACAUAUCAAUGAGAAUGUCAUGAAAAUGGAAGAAAAGUUUCAAUUAACUUGUUGAAAAGCUCCAGGAAGAAAUUUAAGCUAAAUUGAAAUGAGGGAAUGAGGUCAGCAAGAUGAUGAAAUAGAAGAUUCCCUACUAUCACUCCUCCAUAAAAAUACAACUAGAAACUGCUUAAAGACAAGCAUACAACCCUGAGUUCACCACAAUUCAAGGGAGAAUUGAAGAAACCCCAGAACUGAGAGAAGCUGUAACAGUUCACAUCCUGGGGGUGGUUUGCAGUUUGGAUUGGAGCAGUACCACAGACAAGGAUCCCUGACUCUAACCUGGAAGUGAUGCUUCCCCUGGGUGUCUCUCUUUUAUGAGAUUUCACAGGGGUGGAGGAUAGGACCAAGGAGUACCAGUGUGUUAGGGUUCCUCUAGUAACAUCAGGGACACCUAUUCUUUCCACUGGAGUAGAUGACAUGAGACAUGUCAAGUUUGUACUGGAAAUAACCUCUUUUCCUGGUCUGGAUGACUAGGGUUGAAAGGUUUGGGUCAAGCAACAAGGGCAAUGGAUGUCUGCAGAGGUAGUAGCCUUAGGACAGUGACAGACAGAUGGGGUCACACCAACUCAGCCCAACCUCUGUCCUAUAGGUAGGGAACACCUGUGGCUCUGGGAGGGGAAGGGAGUAGGGGCACUAACAGUCAAUCUGCUCUUCCCAUAAGGAUGUAAGAACAGAGAACUGGAGCAUAAUGCUUUCAUUAGGCUCUGCCAAGCUGCGACCACUGCAUGUAACCUAAUGAAGUAUUGGAUCAACCAUCCUGAACCUCAUUCUGUCACAGAUCACAGAGACCCUCUUGUCCUGCAGUGGUGAACUACAACAGCAUUUCUAACACCACUUAUCUGUGAGGAAUAAAUGUCCUUCAUGUAACAACUCUUUGUGGGCAAGUGUUUGAUUUCACUGGACUCGGGCAAGUAAUAGAAAUGGGCACAGCUCAAGGUGCAGUGGAUGAGAUUUUUUGGAUUCUCUCCUGGGAUUGACACCAGUGCACAGUGAACCUCCUUCACAAGGUGUAUCAUAGCUGUAGCGUUCUACUGAAAAACUAAGAAGCAGUAACCAGCGAGUGGCCUAGAAGUAAAUUGGGUCAUAGGGAUGCAGCAAGAACUAAUAGCAGCAGGAUCUUUGCUAUUCUUGCUUAGGACCACUUAAUUCCAUGAAUUCUCUAUAAAGCACUGGCAAAACCCUGAAGACCCAUAAUGGAAGGAUGCCAUUUCUGCACUGGAGAUGUUUGCAGUUUAAUGGAGGAGACGAACAAUUUUUUUUAAAUUGCGUUUUAGGUUUUGGGGUACAUGUGAAGAACAUGCAAGAUAGUUGCAUAGGUACACACAUGGCAGUGUGAUUUGCUGCCUUCCUCCCCUUCACCUAUAUCUGGCAUUUCUCCCCAUGCUAUCUCUCCCCAACUCCCCACGAACAGAUAAUUUU